CAGUCGCCGCGGUAAUACGAAGGGUGCAAGCGUUAAUCGGAAUUACUGGGCGUAAAGCGUGCGCAGGCGGUUAUAUAAGUCAGAUGUGAAAUCCCCGGGCUCAACCUGGGAACUGCAUUUGAGACUGUAUGGCUAGAGUGUGUCAGAGGGGGGUAGAAUUCCACGUGUAGCAGUGAAAUGCGUAGAUAUGUGGAGGAAUACCGAUGGCGAAGGCAGCCCCCUGGGAUAACACUGACGCUCAUGCACGAAAGCGUGGGGAGCAAACAGGAUUAGAUACCCGCGUAGUCCCUGUCUCUUAUAA
rnacentral:rRNA from 1 species